CCGGAGGCCCCCCUCUCCCUUUCCGGCGCAUCGUCGCGUUUGUUCAUGUACCGCCGCGUGUAGGACGUACUAACGAACUUUCUCUUUACGUUCUCGCGGCUGUCACAACCUCGUGGUUUUUGGCGUUGCCUUAUAAGCCGUUCCCUCCAUUCGUUCCUUGCGGGAAGCGACGUCUAAAGCAAUCGCAGCCUCGUGGUUUUUGGCGUGGCCUGUUCGGCUGUAUCGCGCCGUUCCCUCCGUUCGUUCCUGGCGGAGCGACGUCCAAAGACCUACAGAAGGGCUCUUUAUGUCCCUCUGUCCGGUGGUGGUUGCAAGCGAGGCCUGCACCGUUAUUGCCAUCACCAUAGUCUGAAGCAGGGCUCUGCCUGGCUCUGCGUCCCUCUGUCCACUGGUGGUCGCAAUCGAGGCCUGCACCGUAAUUGCCAUCACCAUAGUCUGAAGACCUACAGCAGGGCUCUGCCUGGCGCUGCGUCCCUCUGUCCAGUGGUGGUUGCAAGCGAGGCCUGCACCAUAAUUGCCAUCACCAUAGUCUGAAGACCUACAGCAGGGCUCUGCCUGGCUCUGCGUCCCUCUGUCCAGUGGUGGUUGCAAGCGAGGCCUCCACCGUAAUUGCCAUCACCAUAGUCUGAAGACCUACAGCAGGGCUCUGCCUGGCGCUGCGUCCCUCUGUCCAGUGGUGGUUGCAAGCGAGGCCUGCACCGUAAUUGCCAUCACCAUAGUCUGAAGACCUACAGCAGGGCUCUGCCUGGCUCUGCGUCCCUCUGUCCAGUGGUGGUUGCAAGCGAGGCCUCCACCGUAAUUGCCAUCACCAUAGUCUGAAGGUUUUCUGCACGUAAAGCGCAAGAUGGAGCAUGGACAAGUUUUUUUUGUUUUUUUAAUCGUCCAAGGCAUGGAGUUUUACUGAAGUUGAGCUAUGGUCCCGUUACAAGUGGUCUGUGUUUUAUUCAUCAUAGAUAUUAUUAGCCGCAUCAGGUUUUAUCUUGCUCGUCUUUGAAAUAUCAAUUGGUUUUCAACUAAAACUGCAUUUUCCUGUUAAGCGCAGGUUUCUUCAGAUGAAAGCGUAGACUGGGGUCCGAACAAGGUGUUCUUUUUUUAACUGGCCCAGGCACAUUGUUUUAUUGAAGGUGAGCUAUGGUCUCCUACCCGCCUUACUUGUCACAGACAUUAUUUGCUGCCCUAGAUUUUUCUUCUCUUUUGAAAUGUCAGUUGGUUUUCAACUAAAUAUGCAUUUUCCCUGGCAAUUGCAGGUUUUCUGCAUGUAAAGUGCAAGAUGGAGCUUAGACAAGUUUUUGUUUCGUUAAUUGCCUGAGGCCCAAAGCACGGUGUUUUACUGGAAGUGAGCUGUGGUCUGUGUCCUAUUUGUCACGGACAUUACUUGCUGUGUCAGAUAUUUCAUGCCUCUCUCCUGCAAUGUCAAUUGGUUUUCAACUAAAACUACAUUUUCUGUGAUUAGCGCAGGUCUCCUCGGAGGAAAACAUUAGGCGCCGAGAUGUGCUGGCCUUCCCUUAUGGUCCAGACCAGUUGUUUUCAUCAAGGGAGCAUUGAGAUAGCCCUUCACCUCGGAAGAAGUACCCAUAAACGAAUUUUAGAUAUAAUAAAGAGCUAUUACAAUU
rnacentral:lncRNA from 1 species